rnacentral:ribozyme from 13 species
GAAACGAAGAUGAAUGAUGCUUGAAAAAACGUUAUGUUUGAAACUCUAUGUUGAUUUUGUCCACUAGGCCACUUCUUUUUUUUUUUUUUCCUUUUUUUUUUUUGUUGGGAUUUAAUAUCCCAACUUGUUGAAAGUUUAUUU